CGGGAUGUAGUAUAACGGUAGUACGCCUGCUUUGGGAGCAGGUGGCCCGGGUUCAAUUCCCGGCAUCCCGA
rnacentral:tRNA from 1 species